AUUGAACGCUGGCGGCAGGCCUAACACAUGCAAGUCGAACGAGUGGCGGACGGGUGAGUAAUGUCUGGGAACCUGCCAGAUGGCGGGGGAUAAUUCCUGGAAACGGUAGCUAAUACCGCAAACCAUCGGAUGUUCCCAGAUGGGAUUAGCUAGUAGGUGGGGUAACGGCUCACCUAGGCCACGAUCCCUAGCUGGUCUGAGAGGAUGACCGGCCACACUGGAACUGAGACACGGUCCAGACUCCUACGGGAGGCAGCAGUGGGGAAUAUUGCGCAAUGGGCGCAAGCCUGAUGCAGCCAUGCCGCGUGUAUGAAGAAGGCCUUCGGGUUGUAAAGUACUUUCAUCGAGGAGGCGUUACUCGCAGAAGAAGCACCGGCUAACUCCGUGCCAGCAGCCGCGGUAAUUC
rnacentral:rRNA from 1 species